rnacentral:lncRNA from 1 species
CCCCCCCAGCCUCAGCCCGGGGCCCCCGAGCCCCGCAGAGGAGCCGGGGAGCCCCGGACCCCGGGAAGCACCCGCCCCGCCCCGCCCCGCCCGUGCAGCUGGCCCCGACGCCCAAGGCCCGCGGGCCCCAGGGAGCUCAGCCGCCUGUUUCAACGAAAAGGGGGAGCGGAGGGGGGCGCGGAGCCGGGCUCCCACCUGCCGAGGCGACCCCGACCCCGACCCCGACCCCGCGGGUGUGGACAGAGCGAGGCGGUGGGUCGCAGCGCUGGAAGGUUCGGUGCGGAGCCAGCAGCAGGCGGGGCGUUUCGCGGGCAUCUCGCGGGCUCGGCCACCCACGCCCACGCCUUUCCGCCGCCACUGCGCAGGGCUCAGUCCAGUUCAAGAUGCUGAUGAAGUUCAGGGCUGGUGCUUGAAAGACAAUUGGGGUGCUUGAAAGAAGCUUUUCAAGUAGAAAAAAGUGUAUUUGAACAUAAAAGGAAAUGGUGACCCAGGGAACUUACGUGAAGCCAAUAUCAUCAGGCAGCCUGGCUCCAGGUCCAGAGCUGUCUCCUUCAUGAGUGUCAAGAGUGUUCUGUGUCUCUGGAAUCCUCAUCCAGGAUCAGCAAAAAGAACUGCUAUUGCAGUAGAGAAAAGCUGGAAGCCUGUCAUGCUAAAUGCUUCUCUGGAUUAUAGGCACUGCCGGUGACAUUCCACAUUCUCCAAAGGCGAUCAUUUCCUUUGUGUCAAGAAGAGUCAAGGUGACCCCCCACCACCACCACCAUCUUUUGAACUAAAUAGUUUAUUAUCAUCAUGUGAACUGCAUAAAUCUUACAUGGUCAGUCUGCUCUCAGUUGUUCAUGCAACUAAAGGCCGGAAGUACACGCCAAAUACCUUAAUAAAAAAUAAUCCACCUCUCA